rnacentral:snRNA from 1 species
GUGCUCGCUUCGGCAGCACAUAUACUAAAAUUGGAACGAUACAGAGAAGAUGAGCAUGGCCUCUGUGCAAGGAUGACAUGCAAAUUCGUGAAGCGUUCCUUAUUUUU